UUUUUUUUUUUUUUUUUUUUUUUUUUUUGAGACGGAGUCUCGCUCUGUCACCAGGCUGGAGUGCAGUGGCACCAUCUCAGCUCACUGCAACCUCCGCCUCCCAUAUUCAAGCAAUUCUCCUGCCUCAGCCUUCCAAGUAACUGGGACUACAGGCAUGCACCACCACGCCCAGCUAAUUUUUCAUAUUUUUAGUAGAGACACGGUUUCACCAUGUUGGCCAGGCUGGUCUCGAACUCCUGACCUCAAGUGAUCCACCCACCUUGGCCUCCCAAAGUGCUGGGAUUACCAGCGUGAGCCACUGCGCCCAGCCAUUUGCCUAUUUUCUAAUUGAUUUUUUGUGUGUGUGUUGAAUUUUGAGAGCGCUUCCCAUCUUUGAGAUGUAAGUCCUUUGUCAGUUUUGUGAUUUGCAAAUAUUUUCUUCCAGUCCUUGGCUUGCCUUUUCCUCCUCUUAACAGGGUCUUUCACAGAGCAGACGUGUUCAGUUCUAACAAGGUCCAGUUUAUCCAUUUUCCCUUUUAUGGCUGGUGCUUUGCUGUCAGGUGUAGCAUGUUGGGUUCAGUGACUGGUGAGUGGUGUUCUGCUGGAAGAACGUGGUCGCUCUCUCCUCCCCGCCAUCCCACGCACUCAGCAGGGACUUUGGAUACCUUCUAGUUCAUCCUUGCAUUUGACAGCAGCCAUGUCCAAGGCCUGGAGACGUGCUUGGCUCACCCAGCAGGGGCGUGACAGCAUGAAGGCAAGAACCAAACCCCCCUCAGUCAACAUGAUUUCACGUCCCCAAACCCGUCUCAGGGUAACACUUGACCUUCAGUGUCAAGAUGAAAUGGACCCUGCAACCACACAGGUGAAUGAAAGAAAACGUUGGCGACAGCAGCCUGCUUUCCACAACCCGGCCCCAGGCCCAGGUGGUGGUGCUCAGCGGAGGAGCCUCAGUCAGGAGUGAAGGGUGCCAGGGAUGCCUCGCCAUGCCCUGUCACGGGCAGCUGCUGCGGUUGGAUCUGCCCUGGGAAGGGCAGGAGAGGGCACCUUGAUGGUCGGGUGCAAGAAGCUGCUGAGUCAGCAGAUCGCCCAGCCCUUCCCCACGUGUUCAAUCUCCUGGCCUCUGGGCUGCUUUCUCCACCUGGAACAUUCUGCCUCCAGAAAGCCACGCGGCUCAUUCUCUGACUUCCUCCAGGAAGCGACCUUUCUAGCUGGGCUGUCCCUGACCACUCAGAAUAAAAGUGUGCACGCCCCGCCCCUUCCUCCCCCAGCUCCUCCCCGUCCUUCUGAGCUCCCCGCACACUGCUGCUAACUCUCUUGUCAUCUGUCUCCCCCACAAGUGUCAGGUUCCACAGGGCAGGGGCAGCAUCUGUCUUGGAUGCUGCUCUAGGCCCUCGCACACAGCAGGUGUUCAAUGAAUACCUGCCGACUGGAAUGGAGUAAGAAUGCCAGGCCCAGGUUUCUGCUCUGCUCCUAAACUGGUGGCCUUGGGCCAGUAACUUGAUCCCUCUAAGCGUGGAUUCUACAGCUGUGAAUUUGGCCAGUGAGUCUAGCCCUCUGGUGUGGAAGUCCUGAACACCAAAUGUGUAUUGCACGGCCACUGUGUACAGGUGCUGGGUGCCGGGGUUACAGUUCACGUGUCAGACGAGCAGAGGAUCAGAGAGCAAAGCGCACCUUGUGUGCACAGGCAGAAGCGUGGAUGCCCUAGGGAAGUGCCCAUUCACGUGGGACCUGCUCCAUCUUCCAUGGAACGGGGAGACUCCUCAUGUCUCCCUGCUUACUCUGAGGAAAGGAUUCAGAGACAGGAAUCCA
ensembl:lncRNA